rnacentral:snoRNA from 1 species
UGCCAGGCAGGUGCUGUGCCACUCAGCUACUUCCUUUGCAAGAAGUAAAUCUUCUUUUGCAAUCCAGAACUCGCUGUGCAGUAUGAGUUUUGAUACACAUAAGAAGGACUGUC